AGAAAUGACAGCAGUGUUUAUACAUAGUCCCCCCAUUUCAGGGCACCAUAAUGUUUGGGACACAACAAAGUCAUGUAAAUGAAAGAAGUCAUGUUUAGCAUUUUGUUGCAUAUCCUUUGCAUGCAAUGACUGCUUGAAGUCUGCGAUUCAUGGACAUCACCAGUUGCUGGGUGUCUUCUCUGGUGAUGCUCUGCCAGGCCAGUAUUACAGCCAUCUUUAGUUUAUGCUUGUUUGGGGGGCUAGUCCCCUUCAGUUUUCUCUUCAGCAUAUAAAAGGCAUGCUCAAUUGGAUUCAGAUCGGGUGAUUAUAGCCACUCAAGAAUUGACCAUUUUUUAGCUUUGAAAAACUCCUUUGUUGCUUAAGCAGUGUUUGGGCUCAUUGUCUUGCUGUGGAACGAAACAGCAGCCAAUGAGUUUUGAGGCAUUUGUUUGAAGUUGAGCAGUUGGGAUGUGUCAAUACACUUCUGAAUUCAUUAUGCUACUACCAUCAGCUGUUGUAUCAUCAAUGAAGAUAAGUGAGCCAGAACCUUCAGCAGCCAUACAUACCCCCACCACCGUGUUUAACAGAUGAGGUGGUAUGCUUUGGAUCUUGGGCAGUUUCUUCUCUCCUCCAUACUUUGCUCUUGCCAUCACUCUGAUAUGUUAAUCUUAUCUGUCCACAAAACCUUUUCCCAAAACUGUGGUUGCUCUUUUAAGUACUUUUUGGCAAACUAACCUGGCCAUCCUAUUUUUGCAGCUAACCAGUAGUUUGCAUCUUGCAGUGUAGCCUCUGUAUUUCUGUUCAUGAAGUCUCCUGCAGACAGUGGUCAUUGACAAAUCCACAUCUUUUUGCGUAUGACGUGCACAGCCUAAAACAACCUGUUCUAUUUGAUCUUAUUUGAUUGUGCACGCCAGGUAACAGGGCGGACCGUGUGAAGGUUGCAAUCUCCCAUCCCAAAUCCACACCUGACUCCCGAAGACUGUUUCUGAUCUGUCAGACAGUCAUAAUCUCGGGCCCGAAGACCGGAGAGUCGAGGAGGAGAGAGCCGCAACGUACAUGAGGAGUGGGCUGGUAGGAGAGGGUAUUGCCUCCAGCACCUGCAAGGUCGGCUGCAGGAGGCGCCCCCGGGACACAAAGACAGUUGGACAAUGAGAGGGACGUCGGUUAGCGGGCCAAGCUGGUCGAGGGUGAUGGAGGAGGCCCUGCAACUGCCUAGGGCUUACCUGAGCUUACCUGGAUCGAUGGGUGCUCUAGUAUAUCCAGCAAGUGGACCGGACUUUUGACUUCGCACCUUUUCUUUUGUAAAUUGCGCCAAAAUGUGGUGACCUGUGCAAGAAUUUCACUGUGUCAUUUGUGACAAUAAAGAACCAUUGAGCCUCAAA